ACUGCGAAGGCAGCUUUCUGGAUCAUUACUGACACUGAGGAACGAAAGCAUGGGUAGCGAAGAGGAUUAGAUACCCUCGUAGUCCAUGCCGUAAACGAUGUGUGUUAGACGUUGGAAAUUUAUUUUCAGUGUCGCAGGGAAACCGAUAAACACACCGCCUGGGGAGUACGACCGCAAGGUUAAAACUCAAAUGAAUUGACGGGGACCCGCACAAGUAGUGGAGCAUGUGGUUUAAUUCGAAGAUACGCGCAGAACCUUACCAACACUUGACAUGUUCGUCGCGACUCUAAGAGAUUAGAGUUUUCGGUUCGGCCGGACGAAACACAGGUGCUGCAUGGCUGUCGUCAGCUCGUGUCGUGAGAUGUUGGGUUAAGUCCCGCAACGAGCGCAACCCUCACUUUUAGUUGCCAUCAUUAAGUUGGGCACUCUGAAAGAACUGCCAGUGAUAAGCUGGAGGAAGGUGGGGAUGACGUCAAGUCCUCAUGGCCCUUACGUGUUGGGCUACACACGUGCUACAAUGGCAUCUACAACAGGAAGCAAAACGGCAACGUUAAGCAAAUCCCGAAAAGAUGCCUCAGUUCGGAUUGCACUCUGCAACUCGAGUGCAUGAAGCUGGAAUUACUAGUAAUCGUGGAUCAGCGUGCCACGGUGAAUGCGUUCCCGGGUCUUGUACACACCGCCCGUCACACCAUGGGAGUUGGUUCUACCUUAAGGCAAGGUUUUAAACCCUUGACCACGGUAUAGUCAGCGACUGGGGUGAAGUCGUAACAAGGUAGCCGUA
rnacentral:rRNA from 1 species